rnacentral:rRNA from 1 species
CCUACGGGAGGCAGCAGUGGGGAAUAUUGCGCAAUGGGCGAAAGCCUGACGCAGCGACGCCGCGUGAGGGAUGAAGGUCUUCGUAUCGUAAACCUCUGUCAGCAGGGAAGAACGGUCACUGUGCUAAUCAGCAGUGAAUUGACGGUACCUGCAAAGGAAGCACCGGCUAACUCCGUGCCCGCAGCCGCGGUAAUACGGCGGGUGCGAGCGUUAAUCGGAAUUACUGGGCGUAAAGGGCUCGUUGGCGGUAUGUGAAGGCAAGGGUGAAAUCCCCGCGCUCAACGUGGGAACUGACUUUGAAACUGGCAAACUAGAGUGUGUGAGAGGAUAGUGGAAUUCCAGGUGUAGGAGUGAAAUCCGUAGAUAUCUGGAGGAACAUCAGUGGCGAAGGCGACUAUCUGGCACAUAACUGACGCUGAGGAGCGAAAGCGUGGGUAGCAAACAGGAUUAGAUACCCUAGUAGUC